rnacentral:rRNA from 1 species
AACGCCAAGAACCUUACCACCUUUUGACAUGCCCGGACCGCCACAGAGAUGUGGCUUUCCCUUCGGGGACUGGGACACAGGUGCUGCAUGGCUAUCGUCAGCUCGUGUCGUGAGAUGUUGGGUUAAGUCCCGCAACGAGCGCAACCCUCGCUGUUAGUUGCUACCAGGUUUGGCUGGGCACUCUAACAGGACCGCCGGUGGUAAGCCGGAGGAAGGUGGGGAUGACGUCAAGUCCUCAUGGCCCUUACAGGGUGGGCUACACACGUGCUACAAUGGCGACUACAGAGGGCUGCAAUCCCGCGAGGGGGAGCCAAUCCCUAAAAGUCGUCUCAGUUCGGAUUGCACUCUGCAACUCGAGUGCAUGAAGUUGGAAUCGCUAGUAAUCGCGGAUCAGCAUGCCGCGGUGAAUACGUUCCCGGGCCUUGUACACACCG